CGGCUACUUCACAACACCAGGG
rnacentral:miRNA from 4 species